rnacentral:lncRNA from 1 species
GAACAGAAGACUUUUCUCUGCAACAAUGAUGAGAAGACUCUCCCGUGGAAUGCAGAGCUAUGUUGGUCACAGUCCCUCUGAGUGUUUCCAGGGUACCAGAUGGAAAGACCUCAGUUUCCAAAGAAUAGGUUCCUGUCCUCCAUGAUGGGGAUGGGGCUGUUUCUCCAGCCCUGUCGGGCGAUUCCAGUCAACAAUACCACCUGAGUGCUCGCUUCUGAAGUAAACUAGCAAGUCAUCUCUCCUAGUGCUUUUUCUUUCCAAGAAAA